rnacentral:rRNA from 1 species
UGGGGAAUAUUGGACAAUGGGCGAAAGCCUGAUCCAGCCAUGCCGCGUGUGUGAAGAAGGUCUUCGGAUUGUAAAGCACUUUAAGUUGGGAGGAAGGGCAGUAAGCGAAUACCUUGCUGUUUUGACGUUACCGACAGAAUAAGCACCGGCUAACUCUGUGCCAGCAGCCGCGGUAAUACAGAGGGUGCAAGCGUUAAUCGGAAUUACUGGGCGUAAAGCGCGCGUAGGUGGUUCGUUAAGUUGAAUGUGAAAGCCCCGGGCUCAACCUGGGAACUGCAUCCAAAACUGGCUAGCUAUAGUAGGGCAGGGGGUGGUGGAAUUUCCUGUGUAGCGGUGAAAUGCGUAGAUAUAGGUAGGAACACCAGUGGCGAAGGCAACCACCUGGGCUCAUACAGACACUGAGGUGCGAAAGCGUGGGGAGCAAACAGU